AGUGAACGCUGGCGGUAGGCCUAACACAUGCAAGUCGAACGGCAGCACAGUAAGAGCUUGCUCUUACGGGUGGCGAGUGGCGGACGAGUGAGGAAUACAUCGGAAUCUACUUUUUCGUGGGGGAUAACGUAGGGAAACUUACGCUAAUACCGCAUACGACCUACGGGUGAAAGCAGGGGAUCUUCGGACCUUGCGCGAUUGAAUGAGCCGAUGUCGGAUUAGUUAGUUGGCGGGGUAAAGGCCCACCAAGGCGACGAUCCGUAGCUGGUCUGAGAGGAUGAUCAGCCACACUGGAACUGAGACACGGUCCAGACUCCUACGGGAGGCAGCAGUGGGGAAUAUUGGACAAUGGGCGCAAGCCUGAUCCAGCCAUGCCGCGUGGGUGAAGAAGGCCUUCGGGUUGUAAAGCCCUUUUGUUGGGAAAGAAAAGCAGCAGGUUAAUACCCCGCUGUUCUGACGGUACCCAAAGAAUAAGCACCGGCUAACUUCGUG
rnacentral:rRNA from 1 species